GAAUGUCAUUUUACCAAACUGUAUACAGUAGAAAUCCCUCCUAGAGACAAAUGGACCAACGACCAAAUGUACGUCGAAGAGGGAAGCCAUAUUUGGUACACGGAUGGUUCCAAGAAAGGCAAUGAUGUAGGAUAACUGUAAAAAACAAACCUAAAUGCACUGGCUAACUCCAACAAAGUCAUACUUAGAUGGGUACCAGGGCACUCCGACAUUAACGGAAACGAAGAAGCGGACGAACUUGCUAGAAAGGGCGCAGACACACCCCUGGUCGGCCCAGGACCGUUCUGUGGAAUCACAAAACGGGAUGCAUACUCUCUGCUCAGCAACAUAGAAAAAAAGAGA